rnacentral:lncRNA from 10 species
GCCUCCUGGGUUCAAGCAAUUCUCCUGCCUCAGCCUCCUAAGUAGCUGGGAUUACAGCCUGACCAACAUGGAGAAUCCCCGUCUCUACUAAAAAUACGAAAUUAGCCAGGCGUAGUGGCGCACGCUUGUAAUCCCAGCUAGUCCAGAGGCUGAACAGGAGAAUCGCUUGAACCCAGGAGGCGGAGGUUGCAGUGAGCCGAGAUCGCACCAUUGCACACCAGCGUAGGCAACAGGAGCAAAACUCCAUCAAAAAAAAAAAAAAAAAACUUGCACGCACAUCCCAGCAUUCUCUGCUCCUUUUCCCUGCAUUACUUUUCUCCAAAAGACUUCAUACCACUUGGCCAGGCGCGGUGGCUCACGCCUGUAAUCCCAGCACUUUGGGAGGCUGAGGUGGUUGGAUCACCUGAGGUCGGGAGUUCAAGACCAGCCAGGCUAACAUGGUGAAACCCCAUCUCUUCUAAAAAUACAAAAAAUUAACCAGGCGUGGUGGCAGGCGCCUGUAAUCCCAGCUACUCGGGAGGCUGAGGCAGGAGAGGUUGCAUUGAGUGGAGAUGGCACCACUGCACUCCAGCCUGGGAGAAAGAGCAAGACUCCAUCUCAAAAAAAAAAAAAAAAAAAAAGACUUCCUGCUACUAUCUGACUUAUGUUUUACCUUUCAUUGUGUUUGUCUCUUCCCACUGAAUGUAAGUUCCAAACAGAUAGGAAUUUUUGUCUGUUUUGUUUACUUGUAUAUCCCCAGUCCCUAAAUACUGCUGGCAGAUAAUAGAGACUCAAAUAUCUAUUGAAUUAAUGGAUGAAGAAGAUAUAUGUUACAUCUAACACUGCUCACUCACUUUCUGGUUCCUUUAAUAUUAAAUACCUAACUUU